rnacentral:lncRNA from 1 species
GAGGGGUGGGGGAGAAGUAGGGUUGCGUAGCUAUGCAGUGAAAGUAGAGGUCCCAAGAAACUAAUACUGGAUACCACGGCUGCUGAUACUAGGGUCUAAAUGACUGGGAGUUUAGAUUCCCCUUUAUUAUAUGAUUGGAAGGUUGAGUCCCCCAUGUUAUUGACAGUGUGCUUAAGUAAUUCUUGGUAUGUGAUAGGAGGUUCGAGUCCCCCGCAGUGCACAUAGUAUAUGUGAUUAGUCUAUGAUUCGUGCG